CAGCUCCCCCUCUCCCCUCCGUGCUGAGUGCAGCAAUGACCUCCAGCAAACGCAGAUGCCCUUGAGAGAAUCACCUUAACAACCAGAAAGCUUCCACCGAGGAGUUCUGCCAAGAUCCCUCCAAGAAAUGGAAGAGCCUGCAUAUCUCAUCUCUGGGACAUGGAGUGGACUGAGCUGGAAAGCCCCAAGGGUCAGUUUACAAAGUGUGCACAGUGUUGCGAACACCUGAGCUUGGGUAAUUCACAACAUUUCACUCGUGGGGUCUGGUACUCAAGUGUCCGGAGAGAGCAAAGGGACAUGGAGUCAAUAUGGAUUUCAACAAGGAAGUUCAGCAGCCUUCGCUCCAGACUAAGGCCAUCACCGUAUUCAUACAAACG
rnacentral:lncRNA from 1 species